rnacentral:rRNA from 1 species
CCCUUAGAUGUUCUGGGCUGCACGCGCGCUACACUGACGUACGCAACGAGUGUCCUUUACCGAGAGGUAUGGGUAAUCAUUUGAGUGUACGUCGUGAUGGGGAUAGAAUAUUGUAAUUAUUACUCCUCAACGAGGAAUUCCUAGUAAGCGCAAGUCAGCAGCUUGCGCUGAUUACGUCCCUGCCCUUUGUACACACCGCCCGUCGCUCCUACCGAUGGGUGAUCCGGUGAAUGAUUCGGACUCGGUUGCCUCUAGCCACUAGUGGCGCUCGAGAAAGUUUUGUGAACCUUAUCACUUGGAGGAAGGAGAAGUCGUAACA